AAAAAAACAUAAGGGGUAACACUGUCGUUUUUUAUUGGUCGUCAUGAAAAAAACAUAAGGGGGGUAACACUGUCGUUUUUUAUGGGUCGUCUUGAAAAAAACCAUAAGGGGUAACACUGUCGUUUUUUAUGGGUCGUCUUGAAAAAAAACAUGAGGGGUAACACUGUCGUUUUUUAUGGGUCGUCUUGAAAAAAAACAUAAGGGGUAACACUGUCGUUUUUUAUUGGUCGUCUUGAAAAAAAACAUAAGGGGUAACACUGUCGUUUUUUUAUUGGUCGUCAUGAAAAAAAACAUAAGGGGUAACACUGUUGUUUUUUAUUGGUCGUCAUGA
ensembl:lncRNA